GGCUCUGAGGAAACCGGACUGUAAAAUACAGAUACUGGGGCUGGACAAUGUCGGUCUCACAGAUUCUGGAGCCGAGGAUCUCGUCUCCGCUCUCAGUACAAACCUCUCACUGACGUGGCUGGACCUGGGAUUCAACUCUCUCACAAACCGAUGUGUCCCCGCUCUCCGCCGCCUCAUACUGAACCUCCCGAGACUGAAGCGGAUCUGGCUGGCGGGGAAUAAGUUCAGCCCGACCGGGGAGAAGGAACUGAGGUCACUGCAGGAACCCAGACCCGGACUGCGUGUAGACAUGUGAACAUCUCGUGGUGUAAACGUCACUGCCCUUGGUACCGGAAUAUUGUUGGCCGAUUCCCCGCCCUCCCCUUUAAACAGCCGCCCUCCCCUUUAAACCCCAACACUUCCCGGGCCGGGCGGGCGGUGACAUCAGAGGCGACCAUGCCCGCUGUCACGUGACCCGGGUACGCGGCGCUGAUGAUGAUGAUGCCGGAUAUCCGGUGCUGCCCCCAGUGGGGGACGGGGGAAUUACAGCGGGGGGGACCUGCAGGAUCCGGGAUGUGACUUUAUCAUCAGCUCCUUCCUGCUGUGGAUUGAUGGUGACAACUGCAGCAGCAACAUUAUUCAAACUGUUCAUUCACACAACAAUGUCUGUUACUGCUGUAAAUCACAUGUAAAUAGUUAAUGACUAAAUAACAUUGAAAGUUA